rnacentral:tRNA from 1 species
GGGCGGUUAGCUCAGCGGUAGAGCACCUGUCUUACACACAGGGGGCCGGCAGUUCGAACCUGUCACCGCCCA